CACAGGGUGAUCUUUUGAGGUAGGGCUGUCCCCUAGCUGCACCACAAAUCGCCCUCUCCCAACCACAGCCGGUGCAAAGCUUGCGAGGGUGAAUUUAGAUCAAUCGUUUUCUCUGCACCGUUCAGGGAGGGGGGCCAGGAGAAACCAGGCCAACCAGUGGGUCAGAGACCCGAGCACACCACGAUUGCUGAGGUUCGUCAUCGUCGUUGUGGAAUUUAUGAAUGAAUGAUUUAAAAAUAGCACGUACAACCGUUGCCCUGCUUGCACAUGUACGCUUCGGGCAGUUGAUAAAAUGACUCCAACGAAACAGACGAUACGGGUUGAUCUGUCGAGCGUUCGGGAUGUGGGCGGAUGUUGCCAUCUGCAGUUCGGUUUUCUCGCAGCGAUAAUGAGCGACCCACCCAACUUCUAGCAACUGUCUCGAGCAUUUUUAACCCAUUUGUUACGAUUGUCAAAACCCGAAUGCCACCGCCGACUCCGUGUUCACAAGCAAUAAAGUGAAGGGAAUACAAAAGAAUUCGGUUUUAGAAACACGAUCAACGAUUUAAGCAGAAUCACAACUUUUGGAAUAUACUCCACAGCAGAGUGCAGCUUGCAUAUAUGCAGCUGUUUACGAGAAUCUGUGGAGGUGUUCUAAGUGAAUAAAACAAAUAAAUCACCGCUUUUCGAUAUCUUGAGCAUUCGCCUUUAUCGGGUUCGACUCCGCGUGAAGCAUGCUACCGAAUGUCCACGGAGGUACUGGUACUCGAACGCCCCCACAGCUCGAGGUGUCUGAAUUUAAAUUAAUCUGGACUGGUCGCCAAUUUUCAUCAGACUGCCAUCGGAUUCUUCACCAUAUUUUUUUUUGUUCGCUACUCCAACUCCGACCAAAAAGAUCCGAAGCAUUGCCAAACGCAAUCUCAAAAGCGGUCCAGCGGUCUUUGCACUCCGUCUCGCAAAGUCAAUUGCUUGAAUCGGACCGUUUAUGGUGCUCAUUUAGCCGCGGCCAUAGAAUGACCGAACCAGACGUUAGCAACCGAAAUCCCCCCCACACACACAUAUCCGGUGCACAGAAUGUGCCCGGAUGACGCAUCGUCGGCCGGGGGUUUCGAGCCGAAAAUGACGUAAGUGUGUAAAGUGCUGCUCACUGCCCACGUAAUCAGCAGGACUUACCGGUGAACAGUUCCGCCCGUGAAGCCUGCCACCGUGCGCCGCCGCGUGUCCUAACUUCUCAGCCAUGUGACCAUGUGCCAAGCCGGUCACGAUCUACUUACACGUUAUCCGUAGCGGGUGAUGAUUGUAAGCUUUGCAAAGCGAUGGCAGGCAGCAGAAACGGAUAGAAACGUCGUUGGUGCUGAAAAGGGGUGGCCGGCUCGGUAGCUGAGGGCGCCCAAACCAAACAGGCAUAGUAAGCGCCACCCUUAUCGGCAGGAUGACGCCCGGCAUCAUAAUCCGACACGACUGGUGGCGUCGUCAACAGUCAACACCAUCAAACACCCGUCAGUGUCGCCAGCUGGACGUCCUCGGACGCGCGCGGGGCAAACCCGAAGCACUGCCGCAAAUGGAGCGGAACGGAGUGAAAUCGAUACAGUGUCGUCGUUGGAGACGACGACGGAUUCCACUUACGUCAGGUCAGAAGAAGCCAUGAAGUGUGUCUCUACCUUCGCGCCGUGUGGGAAACGCUGCUCAGUAACGCUGUAUUGCCGUAGCCUAGUUUUGCCCGGCGUCUAGAUCUUCAGACGUAGGUGAAAAGUUCUGACCGCAUUUGCACCAAGUAUCCAAUUAGAGUGCCUUCGAUUGCUAUCGAUGUCAAUGACAAGCACCGGGCGAUAGACUCGCGGUGUCUCGAUUAGCAAGGAAACAUUACAGUCAAGAGUUCCGGUUUCUGAAGCAGCCGAAAUAAGCUGGGGAUAUAAUCUACAACAAUAAACCGUACGGAACGCAUCUGGAAUGUAAUUCUGAACGGUUCAUAGGAACUCAUAGGAAGCUCGUUCGAUGAAGUACUUCCGGGGCGUUUUCUGAGACCUUGAAAGUUUCGAGACGAAACCGGCUAGCUCUAUCGAUUUUGGCACGGUGGCAAAUGGCGAAAACUAUUGCGCAUCGAAAUUGGACCACCGUCGUCUGUGAGCUGUUGCUAAUUUUUGCGCAACAUUUUCAGUACAAGCCGGUACACGCUGCACGCUUGGAACAGCAACGUUGGAAAGGUGUGUUCGAGUCAUCAGCAUUCGAAGCGAAAAUAUACAAACUUCGAGAAACAACCUUCACUAAACGCAGGUUUGAAAGACGAACUGCGGGCCGGGUGUCACGAACGACUGUUUCGAGAGAUGGCUAGUGAUGCCCAUCGAUCGUGGAAAAUAAGCAACAGAGGCACUUUCUAACGCAUCGUGCGAUGAAGUUUUUGGUUGAACGAUGCUACCCGGUGAUGAAAGCCUCAAUCGACUGGUUACGGGUGAACGAACUGUACCUAUUGUGGAAUUCAUUAGAUAAAUGAAGGUAAUUAGGUUUUGGGCCUGCUUCUCGUUGUUUGGCUAGUUCGUCUGUGGGUCCCGGGCUUGUUUGUGAAGUUCGUUAAUUGGGCAACUCUUUUAUUUGAAAUAGUGAACGAUUUAAAAUAAAUUUAAUUUCAAUAAAGUAUUAAGGGUUUCUUUGUACAAGUAAGACAUUCCGGCUAUUUUGUGUAAAAAAAACUGAGUUGUACAACCCUGAAUUUCUAGUGUGGAAAGAAAUAUGUACCCUUCUUUAUCCAUUUAUCACACCUUACUUCUUGUUACACCGUCUUCCGUGGGUUUAUGCGGGUCAGAUACCGUAUGCUGUACAAAUACAAACAAGUUGCAUCGGGUAAAGUCGCUCCAAAGCUCCGAAGUACAGCUGCAAUAUCUAUGGACUACCCACGUAUACAAUGUUUGCAAAUUCUUCACCAGUUCGAAUGCUGAACUCACACUCGCGCUCACACUUAGAGUGGGACAGUUCCAGUACACCACAUACUCUCAGACUCCCCUCUACCACGCAUGUACACUUCUCCAUGCCCAAUGAUCUAUGAGCCGUUCUUGAUGGUCUUGUAUCGGGAUUCGCACAUGCUGCGCAUCUCAAGCAGUGCUGCUGCUUUGCUUGAGGUGAAGUGUAGGUCUGUGGAGACGCAAUUUCCGGGCUAGAAAUUGGCGAAAAGUUGACUGACCACAGUCAGUCGGUGGAGUUUCCCAAAAAUCCCCAACGGAUCUCUCUGUACUGGGUAGUUGAGAGAGUGGUAAAGCGCAGCACGAUGAAGCCGUUGAAUCCGGGCUAACGGGAUGACAGAUUCGACUCGGACUUCUCGGACACUGCAAAGGAACGGGGGUCCAUUGAACCGGGUUAUGGUCCGUGAGCAAGAUCAUCCUUCCCAGGGUCCAAGCUUUUGCGACUUUCCCGUUUUCGCUUUACGCGAGAUGAGCCAAAGUUUAGACCGUGCAAAAGAUCCAGUGUGCCGUGAAGUGGGUUGAAGGAUGGAGUUGGCAAAUAAAAUACCAACGGAGGUGGAGCGCGGUUAGAAAGCGCGGGAGGGACUAGCGCUUUCCGGACCGGUAUAUCAGUUUGCUGUCCGAUUAUGUUGAGUAGGCGCAAGAACAUGGGACCAGCCGUAUGCAUGCAUCAUGAUGCACGUUCGAGUGUUUGCAACAUGGAUCCAUUCCAAUCGACUGCAUUAACGACACUUUUCCGCCGUUAGCCAUGGGCAAGCGGCAAGAAUCCGCCGGUGAGUGUAGGCAGGCAGCCGGAUGUUGUAAAGUGUCUUAUGCAGUCACAGCAUGUGGAUAUAGAUACCACUGUAGCGAUUGAAUGGAAUGGAAUUUCAACUAUGCGUUACAGUUACUCAAAUGUGGUGGAUGUUCCGCUCACUAAAACGGUUUGAAUUUGUUCGGUAUGCGAUGGAAUGCGUUCACCGCUAAGUAAAUAUUUCACGUAUGCUUAUAAAAUACAUUGCAAAUAAACUCUUCAACGGUCUAGUAAAACUAACAAUA